rnacentral:lncRNA from 1 species
AUCAGUAGUACAAUCUCACCUUCCUACAGACGAUGGUAUCGCAGUUUAUUUUACACCUAAGAAUCCAAAACAUAAAAAGAUUGUGGAGUCCACUCCGGUAAACAUCCAUUUCUAUUUUGAUUAUCCUUUGUGUUCUAACCUAAAUGCGUGGAAGGUUGACAAUCUUGUAUCAGAAUUUCUGCCAAUUCUACACACCAUAAGCACAGGUGCAAAAGAUGAGAGCAGUUGGUUCCAAAUUAAGCAUACAACAAAUAGAAAGUAUAAGCUAGUGUUUUGUCUCUUUGACACUUAUUGCCAAGACAUUGGCAUCGUCUCACAAAGUGGUUAUCAUCGUUUGGUUCUCUCGGACAACCCAAAGCCUUUUUGCUCAAACUGGAUGAUAGAAUUGGAAUGGCAGCAGAAGUAUGAUCUUGUCAUGUUAUGCCUAGAUCUACUCUACGUAAUGUAUAAUAAUAAUGCAUGUAGGUACUUUAUCCUGUUGCAUGGAUGUAAAACUUGAUAAUAAUGUAAUGGGGGUCUGUCUAUGUGCCCCUUAUAUAUGAUCACAUGAUAUAUAUUAUGUAUUGAUAUGGAUAUCAUAAAAGACUCUGGUUCAUUCCUUGAGAAAUUUCUUUAAUCCUCUAUGAUUUCAAAGAAUUAAUUAAGACACAUAAGAAUAAGUACCGAGCUUGGAUCAAUCAAUAUUGUAGAUGCUCAAUGACUUACUGGGACAAUACAUGCAAUAACUUGUUCGACAACUAACUAUGAAAAUCAUGUAGUCAUAUAUACCAUCACUUUUUUCAAGAUACUAUUAUUACUAUAUAAAAAGUCACUGCGAUUAAACAUUAGUACUAAAUAACUAUUCUCAAUUGUCAAUUUGGAAUAAAACAUCACUUGCUUCUUGCCAUUUUGGCCAGUCAUUUUUUUGUCGACAUUCUGUGACAGAUUUAUGUUCAAGAUUCCAACUAUUUUGCAAGAUUUUCGUUGCAACAUUAUAUGCAAAGACAUAAUCCACUACUAUUUCGGAUCUAUUCAAAUUAGUUUCAACAUCACUUGAAUUUAUGGAUAGUUUCAACAUCAUCUUGACCAUUUGUUUUUCUUUUUCUAGGAUUUCGAUCCUUAGAACCUAAUGGUACAUCAGGCUUCAAGCGCACUUUAGAUUCAUUAGCUAUGACACUAGUGGAUGGUCCUUUAGGGACAUCAAUUCAAAUUGGGAAAUAUUCUGUAGGAAUAUAUGAUUUAGUGAUCCUUUUCAAAUCUGUAAAUGCGUCUGGCAUUUGAUUUGCAAUUUUCUGCAGAUGAAUAAUCUUUUGUACUUCUUGUCCACAAAUAGAAGCACGUGAAUCAAGUUGAGAUAGUGAUGGAUUUUUUCACAAAAUUUCUCUUUUGAUGUCAUUAUCUUCUCCCCCUAAUUUUGGAAAAACUAUUUCAUCAAAUCAAUAAUCUGCAAAUCGAGUUGUGAACAUAUCUCUCAUUAAUGGUUCAAGAUAGUGAAUAAUGGAGAGUGAUUCAAACCCAACAUAAGUUUCUAACCUUCUUUGGAGGCCCAUUUUGGAGUGAUUUAGUUAUUCUAUAGGCACAUAUACACCGCAUCCAAAAAUUCUCAGAUGAGAUAUAUUAGGCUCUUGACCAAAAUCAAUUGCAACGGAGAAAAUUUAUGAUAAUUUGUCGGUCUAAGACGAACAAGUGUUGCAGCAUGCAAAAUUUCAUGACCCUAAACAAAGUCGGCAACUUAGUUUUCAUAAGCAAUGGUCUAGCUAUCAAAUGCAGACGUUUAAUUAAUGACUCGGCAAGGCCAUUUUGAGUGUGAACAUGGGGUACAGGAUGUUCAACUCUUAUUCCAAUCGAUAAACAAUAGUAAUUAAAUGCUUGGAAUGAAAAAUCUGUGGCAUUAUCAAGGCGAAUAGACUUAAUUUGAUUAUCAGGAAACUGUGCCCAUAAUCGUAUUAUUUGUACCAACAGUUUUGCAAAUGCCAAGUUGCGAGAUGACAAUAGGCGCACAUGAGACCAUCUAGAAGAAGCAUCUAUUAGGACCAUAAAGUAUCUAAACGACCCACUAGGUAGGUGAAUGGGUCCAUAAAUAUCCCCAUGUAUGCGUUCUAAGAAUGCGGGGGACUCAAUCCCAACUUUUGUUGGCGAUGGACUCACAAUCAUCUUGCCUUGAUAAUAACCAUUACACGAAAAUUCAACAUUCGAAAUAACCUUCAAGUUUUUUAAUGGAUGCCCAUUUGAAUUUUCUAUGAUUCGUCUCAUCAUUAUAGAUCCAGUAUGUCCCAGACGAUCAUGCCAAAGUAUGAAAGUAUUGGAAUUAGUAAACUUCUUGUUUACUAUAGAAUGUGCCUCAAUUGCACAAAUCUUUGGCCAAUAUAGGCCAGAAGAUAAUGUAGGGAACUUUUCUUUAACACAUGUUUGCCAAGAGACAUUCUUGGUGAUACAAAGAUAUUCAAGAUUCAUCUCAUCAAUUGUCUUGAUAUGAUAACCAUGUUCAUGGAUAUCUUUAAAAUCUAUCAAGUUUCUCCGAGACUUAGGAGAAAACAUAAUAUUAUUUAUGAUGAGUUUAGCUUCCUUGGGCAAGAUUAUAAUGGCUUUUCCGAAGACUUCAAUUAAAUUAGCACUACCAGAAAUUGUAGUAAUAUUAAUCUUGACCAUGUUUCGAUGAGACAAAUAUUUUUCGUCUUUGAAUAACGUAUGUGUAGUGCUAGAAUCAAUCAAACAAAUAUCUUCACAAUUGGACAGCUUACUUUGAAAAUUAUCCAUAUCUUCAAGUAAAAUAAUAUACACCAAACUAAAUAUAUAUUAAAUCUUUAUAUAAAGAAAAAGAUUAUACUAUAAGGAAUUAUUAAUCACACUUUACUAAACAAUUAAAAAGAAUAUAUCCAAUUAGUGUGCGAUUAGUACAGCUUAGCAUUUUAUUUUUCAAUAGAAAGAAGAAGAAAAAUGCAUUGUAUUUUUCAAUAAUUAAAAAAAAAAAAUAAAAACACGUAUCCAUGGAGCCAACAAUCAAUUCACUAAUAAACAAUAAUAACCUGCAUGGGCCACCAAUAAUAGCGCCUACCAUUUGCUUUAAUUAAUGUAUCGUCCAAUCAAUGAGACGGCUUAGUAUAAAGAGCACUAGACGAUGAACAUUAUUUCUCCUAAUUCUUCUUCUUGAUCCACUAUUUUUUUUUUUUUUUUUUCUUUUGCAGCACCUACCAUUUGCUUUAAAUAAUGUAUCAUUUUUUCCUUUUUUUUUUGUCAAUAAAUAAUGAAAAAAUUGAAAUUCAAUUUAAUGCAAUAAUAAACCACAAUAAUAGAAUUAAACUAAUUAAUAAACCAUUAGGUUCAUCAUUUAGUAUAAAGAAAUAAAUUAAACGUGGAUGGUUCACAUAAACUAGAUCAUAACAAUUCAUCUUGUCUAUAAAUAGAAGAGGUUAGCAAGAAGGAUACACAAAUCAUCAAAACAAAUUAAUAUCCCUAAAGAUGAAGACCAUAUUACUCUUUCUUUUCCUUGAAAUAAUAUUCCUUCCCUUGUCAGCCUUGGCAACUCCCAACAACCAAGUAUUGAUAGAUGUACUCGAUACUAAUGGUAAUCCCCUCAACAAAAGCAAUAGGUACUGGAUAACUCCAGCCUACACCACUAUGGACGGUGGAGGCAUACGUGUUGCUAAUCUUGAUAGUGAUCUACAACAAAUCACUAUGUGUCCUACAUCAGUAGUACAAUCCCACCUUCCUACAGACGAUGGUAUCGCAGUUUAUUUUACACCUAAGAAUCCAAAACAUCAAAAUAUUGUGGAGUCCACUCCGGUAAACAUCCAUUUCUAUUUUGAUUAUCCUUUGUGUUCUAACCUAAAUGCAUGGAAGGUUGACAAUCUUGUAUCAGAAUUUCUGCCAAUUCUACACACCAUAAGCACAGGUGCAAAGGAUGAGAGCAGUUGGUUCCAAAUUAAGCCUACAACAAAUAGAAAGUAUAAGCUAGUGUUCUGUCUCUUUGACACUUAUUGCCAAGACAUUGGCGUCGUCUCACAAAGUGGUUAUCAUCGUUUGGUUCUCUCGGACAACCCAAAGCCCUUUGUGUUCAAACUGGAUGAUAGAAUUGGAAUGGCAGCAGAAGUAUGAUCUUGUCAUGUUAUGCCUAGAUCUACUCUAUGUAAUGUAUAAUAAUAAUGCAUGCAGGAACUUUGUCCCAUUGCAUGGAUGUAAAACUUGAUAAUAAUGUAAUGGGGGUCUGACUAUGUGCCCCUUAUAUAUGAUCACAUGAUAUAUAUUAUGUAUUGAUAAGGAUAUCAUAAAAGACUCUGGUUCCUUCCUUGAGAAGUCUCUUUAGUCCUCUAUGAUUUCAAAGAAUUAAUUAAGGCACAUAAGAAUAAGUACAGAGCCUGGAUCAAUAAACAUCGUAAAUGCUCAAUGACCAACUGGGAAAAUACAUGCAAUGACCUGUUCGACAACUAACUAUGAAAAUCAUGUAGUCAUAUAUACGAUCACUUUUUUCAAGAUACUAUUAUUACUAUAUUAAAAGUCGCUGCGAUUAAACAUUAGUACUAAAUAACUAUUCUCAGUUGUCAAUUUGGAAUAAAACAUCACUUGCUUCUUACCAUUUUGGCCAGUCAUUUUUUUGUCGACAUUCUGUGACAGAUUGAUGUACAUGAUCCCCACUAUCUUGCAAGAUUUUCGUUGCAACAUUAUAUGCGAAGACAUAAUCCACUACUAUUUCAGAUCUAUUCAAAUUAGUUUCAACAUCACUUGAAUUUAUGGAUAGUUUCUCAUUUUCUUGAGUCUCAGGCUCAUUAAUUCCUUCAAGAAUAUCAACAUUGCUCAAAUCUUGAACUUUCAUAUGAGGAUCUUUCAUAGUGUCAUCUUGACCAUUUGUUUUUCUUUUUCUAGGAUUUCGAUCCUUAGAACCUAAUGGUACACCAGGCUUCAAGCGCGCUUUAGAUUCAUUAGCUAUGACACUAAUGGAUGGUCCUUUAGGGACAUCAAUUCAAAUUGAGAAAUAUUCUGCAGGAAUAUGUGAUUUAGUGAUCCUUUUCAAAUCUGUAAAUGCGUUUGACAUUUGAUUUGCAAUUUUCUGCAGAUGAAUAAUCUUUUGUACUUCUUGUCCACAAAUAGAAGCAUGUGAUUAAGUUUAGAUAGUGAUGGAUUUUUUCACAAAAUUUCUCUUUUGAUGUCAUUAUUUUCUCCCCCCAAUUUUUGGAAAACUAUUUCAUCAAACCGAUAAUCUGCAAAUCGAGCCGUGAACAUAUCUACCAUUAAUGGUUAAAGAUAGUAAAUAAUGGAGGGUGAUUCAAACCCAACAUAAGUUUCUAACCUUCUUUGAAGGCCCAUUUUGGUGCGAUUUAGUUAUUCUAUAGGCACAUAUACACCGUAUCCAAAAAUUCUCUGAUGAGAUAUAUUAGGCUCUUGAUCAAAAAACAAUUGCAACGGAGAAAAUUUAUGAUAAUUUGUCGGUCUAAGACGAACAAGUGUUGCAGCAUGCAAAAUUGCACGACCCUAAACAAAGUGGACAACUUGGUUUUCAUAAGCAAUUGUCUUGCUAUCAACUGCAGACGUUUAAUUAAUGACUCGACAAGGCCAUUUUAAGUGUGAACAUGGGGUACAGAAUGUUCGACUCUUAUUCCAAUCGAUAAACAAUAGUCAUUAAAUGCUUGGAAUGAAAAUUAUGUGGCAUUAUCAAGGCGUAUAGACUUAAUUUGAUUAUGAGGAAACUGUGCCCGUAAUCGUAUUAUUUGUGCCAACAAUUUUGCAAAUGCCAAGUUGCGAGAUGACAAUAGGUGCACAUGAGAACAUUUAGAAGAAGCAUCUAUUAGGACCAUAAAGUAUCUAAACGACCCACUAGGUGGGUGAAUGGGUCCAUAAAUAUCCCCAUGUAUGCGUUCCAAGAAUGCGGGGGACUCAAUCCCAACUUUUGUUGGCGAUGGACUCACAAUUAUCUUGCCUUGAUAAUAAGCAUUACACGAAAAUUCAACAUUCGAAAUAACCUUCAAGUUUUUUAAUGGAUGCCCAUUUGAAUUUUCUAUGAUUCGCUUCAUCAUUAUAGAUCUAGUAUGUCCCAGAUGAUCAUGUCAAAGUACGAAAGUAUUGGAAUUAGUAAACUUCUUGUUUACUAUAGACUGUGUCUCAAUUGCACAAAUCUUUAGCCAAUAUAGGUCAGAAGAUAAAGCAGGAAACUUUUCUAUAACACAUGUUUGCCAAGAGACAUUCUUGGUGAUACAAAGAUAUUCAAGAUUCAUCUCAUCAAUUGUCUUGAUAUGAUAACCAUUUUCAUGGAUAUCUUUAAAAUUCAUUAAGUUUCUCCGAGACUUAGGAGAAAACAUAACAUUAUUUAUGAUGAGUUUAGCUCCCUUGGGCAAAAUUAUAAUGGAUUUUUCGAAGACUUCAAUCAAAUUAGCACUACCAAAAAUUGUAGUAAUAAUAAUCUUGACCAUGUUUAGAUGAGAGAAAUAUUUUUUGUCUCUGAAUAACGUAUGUGUAGUGCCAGAAUCAAUCAAACAAAUAUCUUCACAAUUGGACAGGUUAUUUUGAAAAUUAUCCGUAUCUUCAAGUACAAUAACAUACACCAAGUUAAAUAUAUAUUAAAUCUUUGUACAAAGAGAAAGAUUAUACUAUAAGGAAUUGUUAAUCACACUUUACUAAGCAAUUAAAGAGAAUAUGUUCAAUUAGUGUGUGCUUAGCUUAGCUUAACAUUUUAUUUUUCAAUAGAAAGAAGAAAAAAAUGCAUUGUAUUUUUCAAUAAUUAAAAAAAAAAAAAAGAAUAAAAACACGUAUCUAUGGAACCAACAAUCAAUUCACUAAUAAACAAUAAUAACUUGCAUGGGCCACCAAUCAAGUCUCUUUUUUUUUCUGUUUUCUUUUUCUUUUGUAGCGCCUAUCAUUUGCUUUACUUAAUGUAUCGUCCAAAUUUUUUUUUUUUUUUUUUUUCAGCACCUACCAUUUGCUUUAAAUAAUGUAUCAUUUGUUCCUUUCUUUUUUGUCAAUAAAUAAUGAAAAAAUUGAAAUUCAAUUUAAUGCAAUAAUAAACCACAAUAAUAAAAUUAAACUAAUUAAUAUUAAUCAAAAUCUAAUACUCAUGCAAACAACUACUUUUACAUGAUUUUUAUUCACUAACUCUUAUUAAUAGUAAAAAAAAUAAAUUAAAAAUUAUUCAUUCUUCCAUGUUUACGAAACUGUCACCAAUCAAGUGAUCAAUUUCUUUCUACAUCCAACCAUGUGAUGUCAACAUUAUUUUCAGUGAGAAAGUUAGCUCGAAAUUUCUUUCUUUUUCUUUAGUGAUGCUAGAUAAAGAUCAACCAAGUGCUUGAGAGCACGACAAUCACGUGAAUAAUGUCCUUUUUCACCACAUCAAAAAUAAGUAAUUGUUUCACGUUUCUCAUCUUUUUUUUUGUUCAACCAAUGAUUAACACCCGGAAUAGAAUUUCUUUCUUGGUCAUCACGACCACGACCACGACCAUAACCACGACCACGUCUAGGGUCGCGACCUUUUCCACGCCUAGCAUGGUAAGCAUGCAUAUCAUUCACCUCAGGGAAUGGUGCAGAUACAGUAAGUGGAUUCUUGUAAUUUUUCGUCAAAAAAUUAUUAUUUUAUUCAGCCACGAGAAGAUGAGAACUCAGUUCAGUAUAUUUCUUGAAACCUUUUUCUCGAUAUUGCUUCUGUGAUAGUAUAUUCGAGGUAUGAAAGUGGAGAGCGUCUUUUCCAUCAUAUCGUCAUCAUUGACCGUCCCUCCACAUAGUUUCAAUUAAGAAAAAAUUCUGAACAUGGCAGAAUUGUACUCAUGAACAGACUUAUAGUCUUGAAACCUUAGAUGCAUUCAUUCAUAUUGUGAUUUUGGGAGGAUGACCAUCUUUAAGUGGUCAAGCCUUUCUUUUAGGAUAUUCCACAAUACGAGUGGAUCCUUAGUAGUAAGGUAUUCCAUUUUUAGAAUUUCGUCAAGAUGAUGAUGGAAUAAAAUCAUAGCAUUAGCACGAUUUUGACUAGAUGCUGUAAUUUCUUUCUUUAUGGUGUCUCCAACACCCAUAACAUCUAGGUGGAUAUCAACAUCCAGCACCCAUGAAAUAUAGUUCUUGCCCGAACAUUGAAGUGUAACGAACUCACACUUAGUAAGAUUAUUAGACAUACGAAAAAGGGAAGAAAAAUAAUACCUUAGCCUUUAACUUUGAGAUGGUGGAGUCUUGUGCUGAUAACAUUUUAUGAAAUAACAAAGAAUAAAGAACAAGAGUAUAGAGAGAAGAGAGAGUAAUUGUUAAUUCUCUUGAGGAUGAUUUAAAAUGAAGGAAUUCCUUCUAUUUAUAGGGAAAAUUUGCUCCUAUUUUCACACUAAAAAGAUAAAUACAUCAAGUCCUGAUAGACAUCAACUAAUUCUUGAUAGAUCUUGACAGACAUUCACUAUAACUGAUAUACAUCAAUAUCAUAACAGGAGCAAAAUAAUUGUCUAUUCUUGAUAUGUUAAAAGUGACAAAUAAAAGUGAAAAUCUUAUCUUUUAAAUAAUGAACAAGUAACAUGAUAGAUGGAGUAAAUGACUUCUCCACAUCUACUUUAUAUAUUAUAAUAAAAACAUAUGAUUUUUUUACGAAUAUAUUAUUGGGUUCAUAGUAUAUGAAAGAAGUGUGAAUGAAAAACUGGAGAAUAAAAUGGUGGAGGGGAAGGAGACACUAAAAUGGAAAGUGUACUCCCAAAUUAGAAAGUUUACUCUUUCUCCCACAUUGGUGGAAGAAGAGAACUUGAAAGUUUUUUAUAAUCAAGAACACUUACUCCACAUGACAAGUGAGACAAGAAAUAAUAGAUGCCUCUCGCCAUUGUCGUCGUCGCUCGCUCGGCUCGACUUCGACUUCGGCUUCGGCUUCGGAUUUGGAUUUGGAUUUGGAUAAUGAUCGAUCGAUGAGAUCUAUCUUUUUGGACAAACUUCUGCAGUGUUUCAACAGUUGCACUGUUUCAAGUGAACUGAUGCAUUAUUUUCAAACUGGUGCUUCAAAAAUGAUAUUGUUCUGAACUGAUAAACUGAGGCUAUAGAAGGUUGGAACGGGUUCAAAAUGAUGCUUCAGUAGGAUGUAAUACUUCAAUGAAGUGACACACUGAUUCAUGAAAUGAGAUGACUGUUCAGGAAAAGAUGCAAUCUUUGAUGAACAGACAUGAACUUACAGCAAAGGUGUAACCUUUGGAGUGAACCAUUGCCUCUUUUCAGAAGAGGCAUGUUAUGGCUAUAUAAACCUGCUUUCAUCCACAGGUUUUGAUAUGAAAUUUCAGAAUAAAAAAUACUCUUCUUGUCUUCAAAAAUUCUGUGUAAUCAUUCAAACUGUUGAGUGUGUUCGACGAGUCUAAAUAUUUGAGGUACCGCUAUAUUUGGAUUGAAGGCCAUUUUAUCCUGGGAUGAAAAAUUCCAUAACCUCGGGUACAGUGAGGGGAAUUGUUUCCUUAAGGAAACUCCGUGAAUUCAGACGACUUGGCCUUAUUCAUUUCUGUUUCAUCUUGAUUUCUGAAAAUAAAAUACACUUCUAAGAAAGAUCACUUUGAUCCUUUGUUGAGGGUAUUUUUUGUACUUUAUUGAGUUCUUAUUUUAAACUUGAACUAGUUGAAGUUGUUUUUCUACAUACACAGAUUCUGCGUACCCGUAGAAAGAAAUAACAAUCUUAAGGAAACAAAUUUCAGAAUCUGUAUAGCUUGUUUUUGGAAAUUACAGUUUUAACUUUCUACUCUGCCUGAACUUAACUAGUAAUUUGAAGUCAUAAAAACUUCAUCACAAGUUAAAGAUCAUUCGGUUGACAAUUGGAAGUCAUAAAAACUUCAUUGUCAACUAGAAACAAGAAGAAAAGUUUAAAGUUGCUUAACUUUAUAAGUAGUAAUCUGAAAAUACUAAGUAUUUUUUAUCUUGUGGUGACAGGAAAAAUGACAAGCGAUAGUCAAAUGCAAGAUGCGGCAACGUCUGUGGGGACAACUAAUAUUGCCACUUCAAGUCGCACAAAUGCUCCGCCUACAAUGGAAUCGACGGAGAAGCCCGAAAAAUUUACGGGCAUUGACUUUAAACGAUGGUAGCAAAAGAUGUUUUACCUCACCACUCUGUGUAUGCAACGGUUCACUAGAGAAGACGCUCCUGACGUGCCCGAGGGAACCUCGGACAAAGGGCAUUUCAUAAUUGUAGAAGCUUGGAAACAUUCAGAUUUCCUUUGCAGGAAUUAUAUUCUGAGUGGUCUCCAAGAUGACCUCUACAAUGUUUACAGUGGAACUAAGACAUCGAAGAAAUUAUGGGGGGAACUUGAACGAAAAUAUAAAACAAAGGAUGUGGGAAUUAAGAAAUUCCUUGUUGCACGAUUCCUGGACUUUAAAAUGAUAGAUACGAAAUCGGUUGUCUCUCAAGUGCAGGAGUUGCAAGUCAUCAUAUAUGAUCUCCUAGCAGAAGGUAUAUGUGUGAAAAAUACCUUAGUUGAACAAAUUUAAAAAGUUCUUAAUACUCACAAAAAUUGUUUUUAGGUUUGAUUGUGAAUGAUGCAUUUCAAGUAGCAGCGAUAGUUGAGAAGCCACUACCUUUGUGGAAAGACUUCAAAAAUUACUUGAAGCAUAAACGCAAGGAGAUGACUGUUGAAGAUCUUAUUGUCUGACUAUUGAAGAUGAUAAUAAAGCUACUGAGAGAAGGUCAAAAGGGAAUUCUACAAUUAAUGGAGCCCAUAUUGUAGAAGAUGACCAAAACAAUUCUAAGAAAAGAAAAAAAGCUGAACGAGGAAGCAAUCAACCCAAGAAGAAAUUCAAGAAAAAAUGCUUCAAUUGUGACAAGAUUAGCCACAAGUCCACGGAUAACCCGAAGAAAGGCAAGAAAACGGAUCAAGCAAAUAUGAUUGAAUCCAACAAAGAAUGCGGUGAUUUAUGUUCUAUGUUCUCAGAAUACAACUUGGGGGGAAAUCCUCUUGAAUGGUGGAUGGAUUCAGGUUCCACCCACCAUGUAUGUACCAACAAAGAGUUGUUUUCGUCAUUCGCUCCAGAUCAAGUAGAAGAAAUGAUCUACAUGGCUAACUCCGCUAUUGCUAAGGUAGAAGGAGCAGGAGAAAUAUGUUAGAAAAUGACUUCAAGAAAGGUCUUAACACUUAACAAUGUCUUUUAUGUUCCGGAGUUACGUAGGAAUUUAAUUUCUGUUUCACUUCUAGACAAGAACGGAUUCAAAUGUGUAACCAUUUCUGAAAAAAUUGUAAUUAGCAAAGGAGAAAUGUAUGUGGAAAAAGUCUAUCUGACCGAAGGCCUUUAUAAGAUGAAUGUAAUGACUGUUGAAAUAAACAAAAGUUCAAAUUCUUAUUAUUUUCUUGAGUCUUAUGAUUUAUGGCAUGAACAUUUUGCCCAUGUUAAUUAUAAAAUGUUACGAAAAUUGAUUAACUUAGAAGUUUUACCAAACUUUGAGUGCACUAAAUCAAAGUGUCAAAUGUGUGUGGAAUCGAAGUAUGCACGGUAUCCUUAUAAGUCCGUUAAAAGGAAUUCCAAUCCCUUAGACUUAAUACAUACUGACAUUUGUGAUAUGAAGUCAACACCAUCACGUGGUGGGAAAAAGUAUUUCAUAACUUUUAUUGACGAUUACACGAGAUAUUGUUAUGUCUAUCUGCUAAAUAGUAAGGAUGAAGCAAUAGAUGCGUUUAGGCAAUAUAAAACUGAAGUUGAAAAUCAAUUAGACAAAAAGAUCAAAAUCAUAAAAAGUGAUAGGGGCGAAGAAUAUGAAUCUCCCUUUGCGUAAAUAUGUGUAGAGAAUGAAAUCAUCCAUCAAACUAUGGCCCCAUAUUCACCUCAAUCUAAUGGAAUUAUGGAAAGGAAAAACCAAACUUUGAAGGAAAUCAUGAAUGCCUUCCUUAUAAGUUCUGGAUUACCGCAAAACUUGUGGGGGGAGGAUAUCCUUACGUCUAACCGUAUACUCAAUAGAGUUCCCCAUAGUAAGAUACAAUCAAUUCCUUAUGAAAAGUGGAAAAUAAGAAAACCCAACUUGAAAUAUUUCAAAGUGUGGGGGUGUCUAGCAAAGGUCCAAGUUCCUGUGCCUAAAAGGGUUAAGAUAGGACCGAAGACGGUGGACUAUGUGUUCAUAGGAUAUGCUAAAAGCAGUAAGGCAUGUCGAUUUUUGGUUCAUAAAUCCAAACAUUUGGAUAUUAAUGAAAAUACGGUAAUUGAAUCAGACAAUGCUGAAUUCUUUGAAAACAUUUAUUUGUAUAAAACUAGAUAUGAACAGUCUAGUGGGGGGUCUAAACGACCUCGUGAUGAACCAAUUGAAAAUGAACAUAAUGAAUAAAAUCCAAGAUGUAAAACACGUCAAAGAACGUUUACUUCGUUUGGAGUGGAUUUUGUGACAGUUUUUUGGAAAAUGAGCCUCAAACAUUUAAGGAAGCAAUGGCAUCUUCGAAUUCAUCCUUUUGGAAAAAGGCAGUCAAUAGUGAGAUAGAUUCAAUCUUAAGCAACAAUACAUGGGAAUUGGUUGACCUUCCUCCCAGAAAUAAACCUUUAGGUUCCAAAUGGAUCUUCAAAAGAAAGAUGAAACUGGAUGGUACUAUUGAUAAAUACAAGGCAAGACUUGUAGUAGAAGGCUUCAAACAGAGAGAAGGCCUUGAUUACUUCGAUACAUACUUGCCAGUAACAAGGAUAACAUCGAUUCGAAUGUUAAUUGCCUUGGCUGCGGUAUAUGGCCUUGAGAUCCAUUAAAUGAAUGUGAAAACCGCUUUCCUAAAUGGAGAAUUGAAGGAAGAAAUAUACAUGGAACAACCUGAGGAUUUUGUGGUUCAUGGAACAACCUGAGUAUUUUGUGGUUCCAGGAAAGAAAAAUAAGGUGUGUAAUUUUAUUAAGUCAUUGUAUGGACUAAAGCAAGCACCUAAACAAUGGCAUACGAAGUUUGACCAAACUAUGUUGGCAAACAGAUUCAAAAUAAAUGAAUGUGAUAAAUGUGUUUAUAUUAAAGACAUUCCAAAUCACCAAGUCAUUAUUUGUUUAUAUGUGGAUGAUAUGUUAAUCAUCAGUAGAGACAUUUCUAACAUAAAUGCAACAAAAUGAAUGCUCGAGAGAAAGUUUGAUAUGAAAGACCUUGGAGUUGCGAAUGUGAUCUAAGGUAUAAGAAUCCAAAGAACUCCACAAAGGUUGGCAUUGUCACAGUCUCAUUAUGUCGAAAAGGUACUUGACAAAUUCAAGUAUAUGAAAUUCGGUAUUGCCAAGACUCAAUUGGAUGCGAGCUUUGCACUUCGAAAGAAUGAAGAUGAAAGUGACUUGCAAUUGGAGUAUGCAAGAGUAUUGGGAUGUUUAAUGUAUAUAACGAACUGUACACGACCAAACAUAGCAUGCGCUAUCAGUAAAUUGAGUUGGUACACGAUUAAUCCCAACAAAACUCAUUGGAUGGCAUUAAAAGAGUUUUGGGGUUUCUUAAAUACACUCAAGAUUAUGCUUUGCAUUAUAAUAAAUAUCCUGUGGUACUUGAAUGAUCUAGUGAUGCAAAUUGGAUCACCGGAUGAAACGAAGUAAAAUCCAUAAGUGGAUAUGUAUUUACUAUUGGUGGAGGAGCGGUCUCUUGAAAAUUAUCCAAACAGACUUGUAUUGCUCGCUCUACAAUGGAAUAUGAAUUUAUCGCAUUAGAUAAAGCCAGUGAAGAAGCAGAAUGACUCCACUAUUUCUUGGAAGAUAUUCCUUAUUGGCCCAAACCAGUGGAACCAGUAUGUAUACACUGUGCUAGCCAAGAGGCAAUAGGCAAGGCAGGGAGCAUGAUGUACAACGGUAAAUCUCGUCACGUACAACGGAGACAUAAUACCGUUAGAAAACUUCUCUCUAGUGGAAUUAUCACUAUUGACUAUGUAAAGUCAAAGUAUAAUAUGUCGGAUCCAUUUACAAAAGGCCUAUCUAGAGAAGGAGUGGAAAGAACAUCUAAGAGAAUGGGUUUAAGGCGUAGGAUGAGCCAGCAUGGAGGUUACUCUGCCUAGCAGACUGGAAAUUCCAAGAGCUAGGUUUAAGGAGAUCAAACAAAGUUGUGUCUGACAGGUUCAACAUUGUCAAUUACCCAACUCAUUCUCAUGAUGUAGACAAUGUUUAGUAAACAAGGAUACGACUUAAGGUGAAAAGUCUUUUAAUGCUUAUCUAAAUUUGGCAGAUUAGACCAAAUAGUUUAAUCUACAGGAUUGAAUGUUUAGAAAUCACCUAUGUGAGAGCGAAGUGGAAGCCUCUUCAAAGAGAAUGUUAGUAAAGGAUUAUUCUCCAAGCUCUCAUGAAACCGGGACGUGCUUAUUGCUGAAAAGAACAAAACCAUGAGAACCAUAAAUUGUAAAAGGCUGGUUGUGUGACAUAUAUUGUCUAGGUGUACAUUAAAGCUCGACGGUUCAAGGAUAUCAAAUCUACCGAUUGACCGAGUGCAUCCGAUGCAUGUUCACUACGGAAAGUUUAAAGGGAAACCCACUUAUCCAGAUGCAAUCAGUCUUUGCCUGAUGAUCACAUACUUGUCCGUAAAAUUUUUAUGAUAAAUAACCAUUCCCCAUUCAUGUGGGGGAUUGUUGGGUUCAUAGUAUAUGAAAGAAGUGUAAAUGGAAAAAUAGAGAAUAAAAUGGUAGAGGGGAAGAAGAUACUAAAAUGGAAAGUGUAAUCCUAAAUUAGAAAAUUUACUCUUUCUCCCACAUUGGUGGAAGAAGAGAACUUAAAAGUGUUUAUAAUCAAGAACACUUACACCACAUGGCAAGUGAGGCAAGAAAUAAUACAUGCCUCGUGCCGUCAUCGUCGUCGCUCGCUCGGCUCAGCUUUGGAUUUGGAUUUGGAUUUGGAUUUGGAUUUGGAUAUCGAUCGAUGAGAUCUAUCUUUUUGGACAAUCUUUAUUUGAAUUCUGAAGAAUGCUAAGGAAAAAUACUGUAAAAUUUUUCUGCAGUGUUUCGACAGUUGCACUAUUUCAAGUGAACUGAUGCAUUAUUUUUGAACUGGUGCUUCAGAAAUGAUACAUUAUUUUGAACUGGGGCUACAGAAGGUUGCAAUGGUUCGAAAUGAUGCUUCAAAAGGAUGUAAUCCUUCAAUAAAGUGAGGUGUUACCUUUGGAGUGAACCAUUGCCUCUUUUCAGAAGAGACAUGUUAUGGCUAUAUAAACCUGCUUUCAUCCACAGGUUUUGAUACAAAAUUUCAGAAUAAAAAAACCUCUUCUUGUCUUCAAAAAUUCUGUGUGAUCAUUCAAACUGUUGAGUGCAUUCGAUGAUUCCAAAUAUUUGAGGUACCGCUAUAUUUGGAUUGAAGGCCAUUUUAUCCUGGGAGAAAAAAUUUCAUAAAAAAAUUCAUAACCUCGGGUACAGUGAGGGGAAUUAUUUACUUAAGGAAACUCUGUGAAUUCAGAUGACUUGGCCUUAUUCAUUUCUGUUUCAUCUUGAUUUCUGAAAAUAAAAUACACUUCUAAGAAAGAUCACUUUGAUCUUGUGUUGCGCAUAUUUUUUGUACUUCAUUGAGUUCUUGUUUUAAACUUGAACUAGUUGAAGUUGUCGUUCUACAUAUACAGAUUCUGCGUACCCGUAGAAGGAAAUAACAUAUAUAUAUCAUCAUUUAGUAUAAAGAAACAAAUUAAACGUGGAUGGUUCACAUAAAUUAGAGCAUAACAAUUAAUCUUGUCUAUAAAUAGAAGAGGUUAGAAAGAAGGAUACACAAAUCAUUAAAACAAAUUAAUAUCCCUCAAGAUGAAGACCAUAUUACUCUUUCUUUUCCUUGAAAUAGUAUUCCUUCCCUUGUCAGGCUUGGCAACUCCCAACAACCAAGUAUUGAUAGAUGUACUCGAUAUUAAUGGUAAUCCCCUCAACAAAAGCAAUAGGUACUGGAUAACUCCGGCCUACACCACUAUGGACGAUGGAGGCAUACGUGUUGCUAAUCUUGGUAGUGAUCUACAACAAAUCACUAUGUGUCCUACAUCAGUAGUACAAUCUCACCUUCCUACAGACGAUGGUAUCGUAGUUUAUUUUACACCUAAGAAUCCAAAACAUCAAACGAUUGUGGAGUCCACUCCGGUAAAUAUCCAUUUCUAUUUUGAUUAUCCUUUGUGUUCUAACCUAAAUGCGUGGAAGGUUGACAAUCUUGUAUCAGAAUUUCUGCCAAUUCUACACACCAUAAGCACAGGUGCAAAGGAUGAGAGCAGUUGGUUCCAAAUUAAGCAUACAACAAAUAGAAAGUAUAAGCUAGUGUUUUGUCUCUUUGACACUUAUUGCCAAGACAUUGGCAUCGUCUCACAAAGUGGUUAUCAUCGUUUGGUUCUCUCGGACAACCCAAAGCCUUUUUGCUCAAACUGGAUGAUAGAAUUGGAAUGGCAGCAGAAGUAUGAUCUUGUCAUGUUAUGCCUAGAUCUACUCUACGUAAUGUAUAAUAAUAAU